rnacentral:rRNA from 1 species
UACAGAGACCACAAGCGUUACUCGGAUUCACUGGGCGUAAAGGGUGCGUAGGCGGUUAGGUGUGUUAGAUGUGAAAUUUCAAGGCUCAACCUUGAAGCUGCGUCUAAAACUACCUAGCUAGAGUUUUGGAGGGGUAAGCGGAAUUUCUGGUGUAGCGGUGAAAUGCAUAGAUAUCAGAAGGAACACCAAAGGCGAAGGCAGCUUACUGGACAAAAACUGACGCUGAGGCACGAAAGCGUGGGGAUCAAAAAGG